rnacentral:rRNA from 1 species
AUGAGGGGAGAUCGCAUCAACGAUCCUGUGAACAUUAGCUCUGAUGAGAGCGCGGACAGCAGCUCUAAUGAAGCUGUGGACACAAGCUUUGAUGAACCCGCGUACACCAGCUCUGAUGAAGGUGUGGACAUGAGCUCUGAUGAACGGGCGUACAGCAGCUCUGAUGAUGGCAUGGACACAAGCUCUGAUGAAGGUAUUUUUAGUAAUGGCAUGUGCUACUGUAUGAAGAAAAAGAGGCUUCAGAAGACAUGCAAGGAUGUGUGUGACUGCCCUAGAGAGUACUCAGUUGGGGUUGACAAGAGGGCUGCUAUAACACAUAACUGGAGCCGCUUCGUGGAAAGAGCGAAGCUGAAAGAACGGGAAAUCUGUGUCUUUUCUCUCCGACAUUGCAAGGGGGUGCCAGUGUUCACUGUGCACAAAAUCUGA